UGUUGAAAUGGGGGACAACCGAUAUGCUCGGCAAAAUAGAAAGAAGCUCCGGCGGAAGAGAGAAAAGUAGGUUUCAAAAAGGGUGGUUGCCACGUCAUAUAUCUCUCUUUCACCCAUCAUCAAUCCAUCCAUCUGAAUGAAGGUGAUGCUGAUGAUGUAGAGCUGAUGAUUUCUUCUCUAGUUGCUUCCCCAUUCAUUCAUUCAACAACCUUUUCAGAAAAAAAGAAAAUAAAAAUAAAAAGAAUAUGAAAUGGCAAUCUGAUCUUUCCACAUUUCCUUUUUUAUCUAUACUACUUUAUAAAAAUUAUAUACCCCAUAUAACAAAUUGGGGUUUUUGAUGUUGCGGGUUUUAUCGUCCACUAUCUGAAAGGCGAUGAUGAUAUAUCUUUCUGCAUAUUAAUUUUCCGAGCAUAUUCCGGAUAACGGGUGAAAAUCGGCCCGUAUCUUGGCGGGGCAUCCCGAAUGUUUGGUGUUUGCAGCCAUGGCGGUGUUUCUGAUCCCCUUUAUUCUGGUUUCACUUAUAUUUGCAGAUCUGAGCCUAUUAUGACCCCCAUAUUUCAUGUGUUCUCGAGUUUUUGUUUUUUGAUAAAAUUCGGCAACCUUAUUGUUAUUAUUACUAGAUUUAUACCCGUGCCAAAAAAUUAAGAUCAAUAUUGAGUGAUAUCAGAUAUUAAACUGAUAAGAAUAGAUACUACACUUGAUCUUAGGCAAAAGGCCAAGAAAGGUAAUGUCAAGUGAUAAAUAUAAGAGGCUGUGAUGGUGAUAAACUGUUAUAAGUUAUAGUAUAUUUGAAUGAAGUUUAUGAUUAUACGUAUCUUGGCGGGGCAACACACUAGGACAUUUAUGUGAAAGAAUCUACUAAUAAGAUUUAAGUGUAGUUCUUUUCACAUUGCAACUGGUGAUUAAGAUUGCAGCCAUGGCGGAUUUACCCUCUUUGUUUUGUUGUUUACAUCUUUAUGCAGGGAUUGGGUGUCGUUGUUGACUUCUAGUUGUUGUUGUUGUUCUGUUAACCUAUUUAACAUAUUUCUGUAUCUGAGCCUCAUAAUCAGUUUAUCUUAAUCUUUAAACUAUAUUUCCUUUCAUGUUUUUAAAUUUGUCUCCAGUUAAAAAGAACUUGGUGAUACGUGCCUUCAGAUUUGAUGAUAAAGGAAUAAGUUGCUCUAAAUGAUGGCUUUUCUGAUUUCCCUUUGGCUCAAUGAUUUUAUUCCAAUUAUGAUAACAGCCUUGUCAUAUGGGUCAAGUACUUGUAGUUUGAAGUUAAUUUACUCGGAAUUAUCAAGUGUAUUGCUUUUCUGGCGACUCACUCCGAACUAGCUUGAGCUUUUGGCUGGUGCUAGCCUAGUUAUUACAUAGCCCCAUUUGCUUAGAGGUUGCGGGUUUAAGUUCCAAAAGCAACAAGGGUGAAAGGUUUCCAUUCAAAUUUCUUCUGCAAUUGUUUCAUACUUUAACAUGAUCUGGUAGUGUAUGAAAUAAGAAUUUUAGGCCAGCAUUCUGUAUUAGUCCAAACUUCAUUUCAAGUUUAGUACUUAUGCUAUGAUUACGUAUCAAAUAACUAUAUAUUAAUGAACACAUCCUCACGACCUUAAUGAUUGCAUAUUUUGCAAAACUAAUGUUCAUGACUUCAUGAUUAAUUAUUCCCCUUACACAGCCAGGGUCAUAGCCAUUUGUCAGCUGUGUUUCUUGCAGCACGACAUGAUCCUUGUAUGUUGAUGCAGUUCCGAUAAGGAUUAGACAGCGUUCUAGUGAAUGCAUUGAAGGAUGGUACCGAGAGUUCGAAGUAAUGCAUGAAGUUCGUUGAUAUUAGCGAGCCCAUUUACAACGAUUUGACAUUAGUGUUUUAGAACAUUUUCUGAAUUUGAUUGAAAGAAACUUAUGUUUGGACUUCAGUUGGGGAUGAAUGGAUGAUAGUUUAAUGCCACUGGGAGCGAGUUAUGUCACUAUGUCCAUUUGGGUUAUAGACACAUACGAGCCUAGCAUGACAUUGAGUGGUGCAUUGUGUGGCCCAUGCAGCAUUUUAGAAAUCGCAACUCGAAAUUAAUAAAUUGCAACACGAGAUUGGUAUUCAGUAAAGUAAUGAUUAUCAGUUUAUCACCUCCUACAUUUCUGCUCACAAAUCAUUGAAAUUGUAACAGAUUCUUGAAGAGCGCAACUCAAUUUUGCUGUUUGAAGUUGAAAAA